ACGUCAUUUAGCGACUUUCAGGACAGCCAAAAGCUACUUUCCCCAAGGAGCGGCAGCUUCAAAGCUGCGCGCGAGGGAUCGAACUCAGUCUCGUGCUGUGAUUGGCUGUCUCCCUUUAGGCGGUAUUGGUGUCAGCGCAGGUGCUUCGUUUGCUGAUGAAGUUCAUCCGUCUUCAUGUUUCUCAUGAAGAACAACAUUCAGGGCAUAUUCACGUUUUGUUUAUCAACGCAGCUGUUCGUUACUCGCUGUUUUUACGGCCGUGCUGCUAGUGCUAACGUUACUGUUAGCUAGCGUCAACUAAACAGAGAGACGAUUCUUCUUCACCUGCUCACCAGAUAAACCGCAGACGACCACGGCGUCACUUGCAACAGACGGUGACCGCAGAGAGCGAUCGUAAAAGAAGCUGAGGAAAAUAUGCUGCGUGUGGCAUGACACCAACGCAGGCUCUGACGGUGCUCCUCUGAGUGACUAAUGCCCUUAUUAAUGGGACGGGACUCACCCCGAUCAGCAUUGGCUGCUGUGACUGGCAGCUUGAACGGUGCCCGGUCUGCAGCGCGGGCGCUUCUUGGGUGACGGAGGGCUCAGACGAGGCCACGACGGGCGGAGACGAGAAGCGGUUGAGGGAAAUCCCACAGGGGCUCAAUGAAUGACCAGAAAACAGAAGCUUCACAUCUACACACAAAUAUGGCAGUAAUACAAAGCUGCAGCUGUGAGAUUUCCCAUAAUGCCGUUCGACGUUGACUCUCCUCUCGGUUUUUCUCUGGUGUGUUUGCACUUGAAGCCAUUUCUGUGUGUUUCCUGCCCCUCUUCACCUCGAUCCCACCACGCUGACACUGAGAUAAAAGGACUGCAACUAGAUACGCAAUGUUGAAGACCGUGUAAAAUGCGUAACACAUGGUCUGUUAAUGCUGGGUCGCUGUUCAGGAGAUCAAUGUUCCCAGGACAACAGGACGUCUGUCAACCAGUGUUUAAAGCACUUCUCUGCCCUAAUUUGUUUGCAUCAGUGACUGACAUUGGAAUUAAGAUCACUAAUGUGCUGUGAACACCUUCCAUUGGUCUGUUUUUUUUUGCCAUAGUAAAAAAAUAAGCAUCUUCUCAGUUAAUCCACACAAAUCUCUCUGCUUAAAAAACUUUGUUAUUUAAUGGAUUAGAAACUGGGAAACAGCGAGCAGCAAAUCAAACCUGAACCAAGCUAAACCAAUGGAUACAUUUAAUAAAUAAAAACAAUAUAAAUCAAAUUGUUUUAAGUACAAGUAACACAGAAUAGAAAUACUACCCACUACUGUAUUGCACACAUGACUAAUUGGAUGAACUGACAGAUUAAAAUUUUAAUUAAUAUUUUAAUUACAAAAACAUCCUUAGAUGCAAAACAGUGAGAAAAUGAAGAUGUGACGUUUGUGGAGCAGCGUCUCCACCGUCUGUGGUGUAGCUGCUGCGUUCGCCCAGAAGAGGGCGCUCCGUCGCUGUUUAUCCUCCGGCUCUAACAGGGCUUCCUUCUCUGCCUCAGCAGCCGACAAGAGCCCUCAGUGUGACAAGUUUACAUAGACCAUCUGCAGAUCUCCCUGCUGCCAUAAAAACACUAAUCACAAGGUCAUAAAACGCGACUCCAUAUAACGUCAGCAUGAACACAGCGAAGGCCCUCGACGUGGAGGCCGCAGCUCAACAUGAAUGUGGUUAUUGAUUUAGUUACAGUAGUAAAUCCGCUUUAAACAGGCAUCUUUGAAAAGUGGCAGAGAGACGUAAGUAUUUAGGAAGGUUUGACCCAAGUGGGCGUGGCAUCAGCUAUUUAUAAAUCCAAUUAGCAACAGUCUGACACACAAGCCGGGCGUUGACCAGGAGCUAAAGAACCGAGUCCCUGCAGCAUCACACACUGAGCGGUAGCUUCAUCUCCAAAAGUAACUUCAAGUUUUUUCACAGAACAAUUAGUUUGGAUUUCAAUUGCGGAUUAAAAAAUGUCGUCAAAACAUUUCCUGUAGAUAAACAAACCCAACAUGACGUCUAUAGGUGAUUUUUAAUGUUAGGACAAAAAACCAAAGGACAGCUGUUCGUCCAAGAAGCUGAUUAGAUAAAGGAAUGGAUUCUCUGAUGAUCCGUGUGUUGAUUGAUGCUGUAGAUCAGCUUUUUUCUGUGAUGACUGUGAAAAUGAAGCAUGAAUGUGUUUUAUUUUACAGUGACACCCGCUGAAAGUGGGUGUAAAUAUUGCUUAUAAGUUAAUUAGGAACCAAAUUUAUAUCUACUUCAGACUUUUAAUUUGUAGUGCAACAGGAUGUUUGUUGUCUUUCCUAAAUAUUAUUUUAACAAGCAAAAUGGAAUUAGAAAUAAAUAUUUCUUGGUCAUUUACAAAAGCCUGACCUCAUUUUCUGCCCAUAUGGUCGACCUCCUGCUUCUUCGGAG